CAGAAACUAGGCAACUAAGCGGACCAGGUAACCAGAUGCCCAGAUGCCGGGGAGGACGCGACACGCUGGAAGCUGUGAGGAAUCUUGUAGGCGAGGGAUGAGUUCCUGAACGGAGGAAAAUAAAAAGCGCACUUUUUAAAAAGAGAAAAAAAAUAAAAAGAGCUGUGUCAGAAGUGGGAUUCGAACCCACGCCUCCAUUCGGAGACCAGAACACCCGCAGUGUAGGAACUGCUGGCUUCUUGGCUUGAAGGGAGAAGAUUGGAGGCCAGCGCCGGACAGCGAGUUUAUGCAAUCGCUGCCUGUGAACCCCAAAACGCACUUCAGGGAGAGACGAUUGCAGCACGGAGGCUAUGGAGUUGCAGCCGAGCACCGCACCGCAACUCUUGCUCCCCCGCAAACGCACCCAGCGUUCGGGGAACUGCCGGAGGUCAGGCUGCGUUUCCCGCUCCGCUCCGAGCGACCUGGGUUAGGUGAGCGUCGCUCCAGCAGCGGCCGUCCCAACCUCCCUGAGUGCUUUAGCUUGCACAGGGAGGAUCACGCACCGCCCUGCAGAACAAUCAUAGCCCCGCUGGCGGAGGGCCUUCCUCUGAACACCGUCCUCUGAGACCAGCCGUGCUUCCUGUUUUGUCUUUUUGUUUUUGUUUUUUUUUCCCUCUCCCCUCAACUUCUUUCUUCAUCCUUGCCUCCCUAUUUCCUCCACUUACCCCCAACCUUCCCUCUGCCCUGGUGAGCUGAUGAAGGAGUUAAUAAACACAGCUUUGCAACCGG